CACGGGGGGAGCAAGCGUUGUUCGGAAUCACUGGGCGUAAAGGGCGUGUAGGCGGUCCAGUAAGUGGAAUGUGAAAUCCCUCGGCUUACCCGAGGACCUGCAUCCCAUACUGCUGGACUUGAGUACGGGAGAGGAUGAGGGAAUUCCUGGUGUAGCGGUGAAAUGCGUAGAUAUCAGGAGGAACACCGGUGGCGAAGGCGCUCAUCUGGCCCGAUACUGACGCUGAGGCGCGAAAGCUAGGGGAGCGAACGGG
rnacentral:rRNA from 1 species